rnacentral:rRNA from 1 species
ACAACUUUCAGCAACGGAUCUCUUGGCUCUCGCAUCGAUGAAGAACGCAGCGAAAUGCGAUAAGUAAUGUGAAUUGCAGAAUUCAGUGAAUCAUNGAAUCUUUGAACGCACCUUGCGCUCCUUGGUAUUCCGAGGAGCAUGCCUGUUUGAGUGUCAUU